GGGAAAAGGAGAUUGUUAGCCGCUUUGAGACUCCUUAAAGGGUAGUAAUAAAGCGGGAUAUCAAAUCCAAACUCUUCUUCUUCUUCUUUAGUAGUUACACAAAGAAACAGUGAGUUCAUCUCAUAUGGAUAUUGAGCUCAUGAGCUGCUGGCUGAGAGCCAGCAGACAGUAAAAUUACAUUAAGAGAACAAAAUGGCUGCAGGAGAGCAGCAUGGCAGCAAAAGAUCAGGAAGCAAGACAAGAGAUAAGAAGACUGAGAAAAUGGCUGCGUGACUCGGCUGUUUUGUAGAGUCAGCCUAUCUCCCUGGUCACAUGCAGGGGGAGGAUGCUCCAGAUCAGUGGAACAGGAUGUGCCCUGCCUGUGCCCGCUCUAGGGAAAUAAGGACUGUUGCAUAUCUGACUGCUCCAAUGGACUACACCCAACAUCUCCUUGCAGCUCAGAAUAUGUCACCCACUGUAACGAAUGGCAUGGUUUGCAUGGACCUAAAAGGUCCGUAUAGUAAAAGCUAUGGUUUUCCCAGUAGUGAUGUAUGGAAGUAAAGAAGGCUGAUCGCCGAAGAAUUGAUGCUUUUGAAUUAUGGUGCUGGAGGAGACUCUUGAGAGGACUGCAAGAAGAUCAAACCUAUCCAUUCUGAAGGAAAUCAGCCCUGAGUGCUCACUGGAAGGACAGAUCCUGAAGCUGAGACUCCAAUACUUUGGCCACCUCAUGAGAAGAGAAGACUCCCUGGAAAAGACCCUGAUGUUGGGAAAGAUAGAGGGCACAAGGAGAAGGGGACGACAGAGGACGAGAUGGUUGGACAGUUUUCUCGAAGCUACCAACAUGAGUUUGACCAAACUGCGGGAGGCAGUGGAAGACAGGAGUGCCUGGCAUGCUCUGGUCCAUGGGGUCACAAAGAGUCGGACACGACUAAACGACUAAACAUCAACAACUACAACAAAAGAUGGCUGAAGAACACCACAAAAAUGACGAUGUCUUUGAACAGAUUGUGAACUGUGCUGAAUAAGCGCUGAUGAAAUGUGGUAAACAUCAGGAUGUUCUGGCAGAAAUGGUGUGUGCUAGGUCAAGGACAGAACAGCAUACACAGAGAGGCAAGAGAUGACGUAUGCAACAUUAGAUGCGAGAUAAGCGCUGUGAGGAUGAUGCCACAACAAGGAGUAAUAGGUUGUGGAAUGCCAAAGCCCUCCUUCCUGAGUAGUGUGCCAGAUGCAGCCGGGAUCCCGCUAUCUGGUCACCCAUAAGCUUUUACUGAAUCUGGCCCAUUCAGUAGAGAGUGGUGGUGAGUAUGGAUGUGUUUGUGCACACAUGAUUGAGUGCAUGUUCCCUAUCUUGUUGUAUGUUAUGUUUGUUAACCAAUAAAGCAGUAUUAUAUAGAAAUUCCAAUAUAUAGUGGUACCUCGGGUUAAGAACUUUAUUCAUUCUGGAGGUCUGUUCUUAACCUGAAACUGUUCUUAACCUGAAGCACCACUUUAGCUAAUGGGGCCUCCUGCUGCCGCCGCACGAUUUCUGUUCCCAUCCUCAAGCAAAGUUCUUAACCCAAGGUACUAUUUUUGGGUUAGGGGAGUCUGUAACCGAAAGCGUCUGUAACCUGAAGCGUCUGUAACCCGAGGUACCACUGUAUAUUGGUUGUCUGAGGUCUACUUACGCUUUCCUGGAGUGCACUGGGUCUCAUAUAUGUUAAACACCUAAACAAAUUAAAAGAACCUAAUUGUUCAUAACACCACUGUUAGAACCAAGCUGAAUUGGUGAAUUGCUGAGCCUGAAUCUAGACCUGGAGAGCAUAUUCUCAGUUGCCAGAGCUGGGGGCUGAACUUUAGCGGGCAAUUUUGACUGCUGUGUCUGAGGGUCAAAUAUUUAUACCAGGCCUAAGUGAACUAGAGGCUUCAGGCUGCCGUUCAGUUGCCAGAACUGAGAGGGCUUGAGCCCACACAGACCCAGGUGGCUCAUUAGGUUAGCUUAAAACUAUUGCAAAGUUUUUUCUCGAAACUUUUUUACCAGUUUCUGACAGCAGGGGCAGCAACCUUUUCAGACCCUCCAAGUGUCCCAGGACAGUCCCGGAUUUACAGAGGCCAUCCCGGUUUCCGAGUUGAUGUCCCAAUCACUGCCACAGUGUCCUUUCUCCUGGCAGAUCAAGAUGAGCAGGUGACAGCAAAGGUUGCAAGGUUUUUAGCUGGGGCAAUCAGAAUAAGAUCCACUAUUUGACUGUUGAUUCAAAACCCUAAAAUGUAUUUUAUAUAGCUGACUUUUUAUUUCUAUUCUUUGUAUAUCGUAUUGUUUUUUUAUUGCUACGGCCGAUGGCUGACGCAAAUGAAGAUUCAUUCAUUCAUUCUGAGUUGAUGUCCCACUUUUCCUUAGGAUGUCCCUAUUUUCAUCGGAGAAAUGUUGGAGGGUAUGGAAUUAUGUGACCACCAAGUCAAGGAGAUAAGGAACCUUUGUUGGCUGCCCACUCUCCACCUUAGAGCAGAUUUAUGCCACAAGGUGCCAUAGGAAGGCACUGGACAUAGUAAAAGAUCCAUCGCAUCCUGGUCACUGUCUCUUUGAGCUCUUGCCGUCGGGAUGGAGAUACAGAACGAUGAAGACAAGAACGAGCCGUCUUAAGAACAGCUUCUUCUCCAGAGCAAUUUCGGCCCUGAAUGGGAAGCCCGGACUUCGAAAGUCAUCUAAUCUCCCUUGCUGUAUUAUACUG